rnacentral:sRNA from 1 species
AUGGCUGUCGUCAGCUCGUGUCGUGAGAUGUUCGGUUAAGUCCGGCAACGAGCGCAACCCACAUCCCUAGUUGCCAGCAGUUCGGCUGGGCACUCUAUGGAAACUGCCGGUGAUAAGCUGGAGGAAGGUGGGGAUGACGUCAAGUCCUCAUGGCCCUUACGGGCUGGGCUACACACGUGCUACAAUGGCGGUUACAAUGGGACGCGAAUGGGCAACCUGGAGCUAAUCCCCAAAAACCGUCUCAGUUCGGAUUGUUCUCUGCAACUCGAGAGCAUGAAGUCGGAAUCGCUAGUAAUCGUGGAUCAGCAUGCCACGGUGAAUACGUUCCCGGGCCUUGUACACACCGCCCGUCACACCAUGGGAGUUGGUUCUACCCGAAGCCGGUGCGCUAACCGCAAGGAGGCAGCCGACCACGGUAGGGUUAGCGACUGGGGUGAAGUCGUAACAAGGUAGCCGUAGGGGAACCUGCGGCUGGAUCACCUCCUUUCUAAGGAAUAUGGCGUUAGGAUACAUCUCGUGUCCCAAUUCCUGUUCACUUAACAUAGAUGCCGACAUGUCGCCGUCGGCGUAUCUCUUCCAUCACGAAUGCCGAAUGCGGGGACGGCGUACGCUCUCUCCACCAGUUGGCUACUACCAGAAUGGGCCUGUAGCUCAGCUUGGUUAGAGCGCACGCCUGAUAAGCGUGAGGUCGGUAGUUCAAGUCUACCCAGGCCCACCAUUUCGCGACCGAUGUUCGCUUAACGGUUUUGUUAGGCUGAGCCGGAGACGGGGGUGUAGCUCAGUUGGGAGAGCGCCUGCUUUGCAAGCAGGAGGUCAUCGGUUCGAUUCCGUUCACCUCCACCAAUUCUUAAAAUAUUGAUAAAGUUUUGGUGAUGAUUAAGUGGUAGACUGAGGCAUUCGUAGAGAAAAUAGGUUACUGGUUCAGUGUAGAGCCAGAAAGCCCUCGGAUAUAAUCGAGGGACGCUAUUUGUCAUUGUGAAGAAGAUUGUUCCUGGAUACGGAUCGUAAAUGUAGCUGCUUCGUUUACGGAGGAGGUACUUAAUGGUCCGUAUGCAAUUAUAUUAAAAGUUCAAUAGUGUCGUAGGUUGACCCCUACGCACGAAUUUUGUAAUCAAGCGCUGAAGGGCAUUUGGUGGAUGCCUUGGCACCAAGAGGCGAUGAAGGACGUAGCACGUUGCGAUAAGCCGUGGGGAGUUGCGAGCAAACUUUGAUCCGCGGAUUUCCGAAUGGGGAAACCCGG